AAAUCAAAAUUCAACCCCAGCAUUAGCCAUGGGGUAGAUGAUCCUCUGUAGGAAGGUAGGAUUCUACCUCUUGGC
rfam:Neotoma lepida isolate 417 scaffold_23, whole genome shotgun sequence.